rnacentral:lncRNA from 1 species
UGGGCUCCAGAGAAAGCUUCAGACCGAGUCCUUGCCCUCCAGCCUGUCGCAGGCUGCACAGUGGGGCGCCUCCUCCUCUCGCUUUUGGACUCCAGCCAGGCAGAUUGGGGCUUCAGCCUUGUUCUCCACUACAGCAGAGAACAGCCUGAGGGCUACUGUUGGGCUCCUGGAGUCUCCCACCUGACUGCCAGAGUCCCCACUGCCUCUCCAUGAUCUCACAAGGCAGCAGUGUAAAAGGCUGCCAUGCUUUAAUACCCCCCAGCCUGGAGAGGGGGUCCCAUAUCCCUGACCACCCCUCUUUAGUAUGCCUACUUAGCAAAAUGUGGCUUCUUUCUCACUUUCUCUAUUGUAAUUUGACUCCCAGUACAGAGCAGGAGUUAGGACCCUCCAGGACUUGUGGGAGUCCUUUUGAAAGAAUGGCCCCCACGAACUCAAUUACACAGUGACUGGAGACACCUGUGGUCCUCAGGCAGCGGGCCUCUCCUUUUCUCUGCCUUUGCUCUCCGCGCCUUAGAAGUACCCUAUGGACCUCUGUGUUUGGCAUCGCAGAUCUCCCCAGAACCCUUUCAGUCAGACAGGGAUGGCACAGAAGUUGGAGCAAGGAAUGAGAAUCAUCCUCUGUGGGCAAGGUUGGCUUGGGAAUCACUCAUCCCAUGCCGCUUGACACUCUCGGGGACCAAAUGCACGAAGCAUGACAGACCUAGCUAGAUCCUCGUGGACAGGCUGGGCAGGCAUUUCGUGGUUGUGACCUCAACCUUUGUUCUUUCUAGAUGACAGGACUAACCACUGACCUUCAAAAGACUGCUUCUAGAAGGUUCCUAUUUUCCUGUCCUUCCAUCCAAAGAACCCACAAGCCAUUUUUCUCCCCCAAAUCAUUUUCUAAGGAGUCCAAAACACAACACCGCCUCAAGAGCUAUUCCACAUUCUCUGUCAGCCCGGAACUGCCUUAGACCUUUGCAUGUUCCCUGACAGCAGCCUGCCUACCUGAGUUGCAAGCCAGCCAGCAUGAACAGAUCCAGUUGGAUUAGUUCAGUCAAUAAGGGUGUUGUCAUACUCCUCCCAAUGUCCACAGAGUCCACAAUGAUUAAAUAAAGGCAAGCCAGGAAGCACACCAAGGACAGAGGUGGACACGUGCCAGCCAACACAGGAAUACAGGGCCUGUAUCUGUUCAUCUCAAGCAUCCAGUGGCUGUUUGUGAGGCGCUUGGUAACACGCCUCUGGGAGCACCGGGCAGACACCAAAUCACCUUGUGUGACAGGAAGAUGGACUUACCCAACCCUCGCGUCUUCAAUCUCUCAUCUAUUAACACGGCAGGUUCUUCUUGUGCAUCCUGGGAUGAUUUGGAAGCAACUACGCAGCCCACAUUGACCUCAAGCUUUUUCUCCUCUUCCUCUGCCUCACAAAUGCUGGGAUUAUAGGUGUGUGCUCCCAUGCUCAGCUAAAGCAAUUAAUUAAAAGCCAAUGUUGUUAACAAUGUUAAAUGACUGUAAAUCAUUCUAGAUGUUUGACUCAUUUUCUGGAACUAUCUGGUGGUUUAGAAUUAACUGCUUGGGGUUGGCAUCAGUUUCUGAAACUCGUUUUAAGCAGAGUUAUAGACUUCACCUUAGAAAAGAAUCAGAUGAGGAAAGGACCAGCUAUAUUUUCUUAAAAUGAAGACAUUAAAGGAGCAAAACUUGAUACCCAUAUGAAUGGAUUCUAAUGUUUAAAGACAAUUUUAAAAAAACAAAACAAAACAAAACCCUGUGCAUCCAACAUGAGUCUGAAUAUGAACAGGCAUAAUCACCAGCUGUAAUCAGGACAGACAGGUAUGAGAAGACAUACAGACAGAGCCAUGGGAUAGCACACAGCCCAGGGGUAAGCACACAUAAAUCUAGUCACUUAUGUGUGACAAAAGAGUAAAGGUGAUCCCAUGGGAAACACACUGUUAUCAACAAUUAGACUAGACACAAUUUUCAAAGGAGA